rnacentral:sRNA from 1 species
UUAGGUGUAUGUCCAAAGUGACAGGGGGCGAAUUAAUAUCUGCAUCCGCUUUUCAACCUAACCUAUCCUAAGAAAAAUGGAGUAUGAAGACUGUGGCACUAUUAGUUUCAAAAACAUUUACUAUUUUUUCCCAGACAAAUAAUUAAAAUUUGCUUUUGUUUUGUUAGCAAAUAUUGAAAGGAGAAAAUAGUGUCUCAUUCAAACAAUAGUAAUGUGGAGGAAUGUUAAGAGCGUCUGCUUUGUAAACGGUUCAACUCUCGGCUGCAAAGAAUGCGACUGAGCGAUUGGGAGCGUGGUGGUAGGGAAGGGCGUUUCAGUCUAAGUAGUUCUUUUUUAGCUACAUUGAAAUAAGAAAAUAUCUCAUUAUUUUUUGAUAACUUGUAUGCCUUGGCAUAAAUACUUAUUUUUGAAAUAUUGGUAUGAUUAUGUAGUAGGACUUUCCUCCUAGGAUAUAGCCAUGCUAAAGUAGUUGAGAGCGACGCUUAGAAAUGUUAUUAGAUUUUGAAUAAGCUUACCAAUCUGGUUAUUUAGUAUUGAGAGUUUUUGCUGGGUAGAGAGGAGUCUUCCCGCCAGUAUGUUCGAGUGAAUUUACAUUUUUUCUGCAGCAAUUUGAUACGAUGUGAUGAAAUAAGGCCCCAAUAAGUGUCCAAACCGAAAAAAAAAGAACAA